UACGGAGGGUGCAAGCGUUAAUCGGAAUUAUUGGGCGUAAAGCGCAUGUAGGCGGUUGGAUAAGUUGCGUGUGAAAGCUCCUGGCUAAACUAGGAGAGGACAGGCAAGACUGUUCGGCUAGAGGGUGGUAGAGGGGCACAGAAUUCGGGGUGUAGCGGUGAAAUGUGUAGAGAUCCCGAGGAAUACCAGUGGUGAAGACGGUGCCGUGGGCCAUACCUGACGCUGAGAUGCGAAAGCGUGGGGAGCGAACGGG
rnacentral:rRNA from 1 species